rnacentral:rRNA from 1 species
GAGGUAACGCGUGGGUAACCUGCCUCAUACAGGGGGAUAACAGUAGAAAUGACUGCUAACACCGCAUAAUAUAGCGAAACCGCAUGAUUUUGCUAAUCAAAUAGUUUAUAGGUAUGAGAUGGGCCCGCGUCUGAUUAGCUAGUUGGUGGGGUAAAAGCCUACCAAGGCGACGAUCAGUAGCCGGCUUGAGAGAGUGACCGGCCACAGUUGGGACUGAGACACGGCCCAAACUCCUACGGGAGGCAGCAGUGGGGAAUAUUGGACAAUGGGGGAAACCCUGAUCCAGCCGACGCCGCGUGAGUGAAGAAGUAUUUCGGUAUGUAAAGCUCUAUCAGCAGGGAAGAUAAUGACAGUACCUGACUAAGAAGCCCCGGCUAACUACGUGCCAGCCGCCGC